rnacentral:rRNA from 1 species
ACUAAAUAGAUACCCUGGUAGUCCACGCCCUAAACGAUGUCAACUAGGUGUUGGGGGGGAGACUUCCCUAGUACCGCAGCUAAACGCGUGAAAGUUGACCGCCUGGGGAGUACGGUCGCAAGAUUAAAACUCAAAGGAAUUGACGGGGACCCGCACAAGCGGUGGAUUAUGUGGAUUAAUUCGAUGCAACGCGAAAAACCUUACCUACCCUUGACAUGCCAGGAACUUGCCAGAGAUGGCUUGGUGCCCGAAAGGGAACCUGGACACAGGUGCUGCAUGGCUGUCGUCAGCUCGUGUCGUGAGAUGUUGGGUUAAGUCCCGCAACGAGCGCAACCCUUGUCAUUAAUUGCCAUCAUUCAGUUGGGCACUUUAAUGAGACUGCCGGCGACAAACCGGAGGAAGGUGGGGAUGACGUCAAGUCCCCAUGGCCCUUAUGGGUAGGGCUUCACACGUAAUACAAUGGUCGGUACAGAGGGUCGCCAACCCGCGAGGGGAGCCAAUCUCACAAAGCCGAUCGUAGUCCGGAUUGGAGUCUGCAACUCGACUCC